AGACGCAGGGGACGUGUCAGACGUGCGACAGGAAGGGCUCAGCGAGGCGAGAGCGAAGCUGUGAGGAAGGAAGGCAGGGUAGAGACCAGAAUCGAGGAAGAUCGGAGUGGAAGAAAAUGGAGCUGGUGUCUCAGUGAAGACAUGCCCAGAGAUGCCCAAAGAUGCCCAAUGGAUGAGCUGCUGCAACCUGUCUCAGCCAUGGGGGAUGGGAGAGGAAAGUGGAGAAAGGACAAAAAAAAAAAAAAACGAGUAGAGAGAAAAGAAGUGAAUAUGUAAUGCAAAAAUUAAAAUUACCUGAUAAGUCAGGACAUGGGAAGUUCUGCCUCCCUAAUGGGGACCCAGGAAGAUGUAGGAAGAGAAGUAAAGCCACUUUCUAAGGACAUGGAGAAAUUCAGAACACCAAGCCGCCCAGGUUUCCUGGCUCCCAGUCUUGGCACACAGUGCUCCACCUUGCUGGGUAAUUCAGCCACCUCUGAUGGGAGAAGCUCUUCAGUCUUCCAUCUGCCAGAGGCUAAGCUGCAGGAGGUACGUGGCCAUAAGAAACCCGUGACACCCUCCCCUGGAACUGUACCCACGUCCCACACGGACAGAUGCUUCACUCCUCCACUUCUUGGCAGUACUUCCUACAGCCCCUGGGUGAACUUCUCCAGCUGGCUGUGAUCGACCUCCAGAGGGCAUGACCGUGGCUGAGACUCAGCUUUUCAUGUUCCCAGCUCUGGCUUAGGGAGUCACCCCAAGGAAGCAGCAGAUUAAGGAGAAAUGUGGACGCAUCCUUCCUGAGUGUUGGUUCCCCCAGAGAGAUGACAGACCCCAUGGCCAGCACUUCAACAUAUAUUGAGCUGUGGGAAUUAGAAUCUAGGACAAUUUGGGAGAAAAAAGGCUUUUGUCUUUAAGGCGUUUACAGCUUAAGGAGAGGAUAUCAUAUUCCAUAGCUGUGACAAAUCAAAAAAUUAAAAGUAGUCUUUCCAAGGAUGGUUUCAGUAGUUUAGCCCUAAGGAGUGAGGAAUUUGUUUGGUUAGACAUACUGAAGAUGGAGACUAUACUUCUGAGAAUAAGCCUAAAGACUGUGAGUCUCGAAAGCCAAUUUACACACCACGCAGAAAACUGACGGGUCUCAGGAAAACUAAAAUGAGGAAAGCCAGCAGAGGCCCAGGCAGACGUCAAAUUAAUCUCUAGAAACAGAGGACAAUCUGCUUUGGCUUGGCAAAAAUUAAAAUAGAACUUAGUUGAGCUUCAGUGUGAAUGGAGGUGGGGAGAGUUCCUUCCUUUCUGUUGAUGGGAUGUAAAACCCUCACUAGCCAACAAGCUCCCCCAGGAAAGACAAUGCCACAUGCCUUCAUUGCCCUGGUGAGUUGUGGGAUGUCUGUCCCUCAGCAGGGUCUCAGUUACUGUGUGUUGAAUGAAUGAUGGAUCCAAUAGAAGAAAAAAGAAGUGAAAAGAAUGACUGGAUAAAGCCCCAUUCCAGCCCAUGUUCCCCUGAUAACAGUAAUAAAAUGAAGGACAGACUGGACUGAAUUAUUACGGUACUUUAACUUUGUUUAACUUUGUGAAAACACUAUGUUUAGCUAGGAUAAUGGGAGUACUUGGACUGGUAAUAAACAAAUAAAUGAGCAAAGC
rnacentral:lncRNA from 10 species